UACGGAGGGUGCAAGCGUUAUCCGGAUUCACUGGGUUUAAAGGGUGCGUAGGCGGGUAAGUAAGUCCGUGGUGAAAUCUCUGAGCUUAACUCAGAAACUGCCGUGGAUACUAUUUGCCUUGAAUAUUGUGGAGGUGAGCGGAAUAUGCCAUGUAGCGGUGAAAUGCUUAGAUAUGACAUAGAACACCAAUUGCGAAGGCAGCUCACUACACAAUCAUUGACGCUGAGGCACGAAAGCGUGGGGAUCAAACAGG
rnacentral:rRNA from 1 species